rnacentral:rRNA from 1 species
ACUCCUACGGGAGGCAGCAGUGAGGAAUCUUCCACAAUGGGCGAAAGCCUGAUGGAGCAACGCCGCGUGCAGGAUGAAGGCCUUCGGGUUGUAAACUGCUUUUAUAAGUGAGGAAUAUGACGGUAACUUAUGAAUAAGGAUCGGCUAACUACGUGCCAGCAGCCGCGGUAAU